CAGCUCUCCGAGUGGUGUGGAUGUUUAUUGGGCCUAAAGCAUCCGUAGCUGGCUGAGUUAGUCCCCUGUUAAAUCCACCGAAUCAAUCGUUGGAUUGCGGGGGAUACUGCUCGGCUAGGGGACGGGAGAGGCAGACGGUAUUUCCGGGGUAAGGGUGAAAUCUUAUAAUCCCGGGAAGACCACCAGUGGCGAAGGCUGUCUGCUAGAACGCGCCCGAUGGUGAGGGAUGAAAGCUGGGGUAGCGAACCGGAUUAGAUACCCGAGUAGUCC
rnacentral:rRNA from 1 species